CUUGAGGUGGCUUCCGGCCGCCAGGCGAGACUCCGCGGGAAAACUCCCUGCUAGAGAGACUAGGAGAUUUGGGGCUGCGGCCGUUUCCUCCGGAGCACCCACGGGACUGUGUGCUGGGGUCCCUCCACCGGCUGUGUCCUUUAUUCUUCUUUCUCACCCAACGAUUUACCUGAACGGUUAUAAAGUGCACGUUAUUUCCCUAAGCACUUUGAGUAUAUUGGCCCACUGCAUUCUGGACUUCAAAAUUUCUGAUGCGAAAUAUGCUGAUACUUUUGUUGAAGAAAUCUGGGCUUUGAGCAUCUGUAAGAUAUUUGUUGGAAGGUUUUGUCUGGUCCUUCUUACUGAUGUGUUGCUCUUCUUCAUGGCUCGUGAAAACUAUUAGAGUCAUCCAAGGUUUGGAGACAGAAAGGAGCACCGCCAAGUGAGGCAGAGCAGUCUCAGAAACAUAGGAAAAUCUUCUAGCAGAGAUGGAAUAAUAGAGACCAGAUGUACCCUCCCAGCUGAAACAACAAAAAAAUACAGAACAAAAUAUAUAAAAGAAUGGUUUUCAAGGUACUAGACAUCACACAGUGAAGGACAGUGAUCCCAGAGAGAUGAGAAACAAACAAG
rnacentral:lncRNA from 10 species